GCCAAAAGCAGCUCCAAGCCAUAUUGCUGCUAUCUACCUUUUUUUUCCCUUUUGGAGUUCCUGGGGAUUAAGUUCAGUGUUUUAUACACACUAGACUGGGUUCUACCGCUGCUCUGCGCUGCCCUGCCCCUCAGCCCUCCUUUUUAAAUGUUGGGGAUAAUCCUUACUGAGUUGUUCAGGAGAGUCUUGAACCACUCGGUAUCUAGGCUGACCUUAAACUUAAACUUAUGAUCCCCCCGGGUUAAUUUCCCCAGGACAUGGAUGACAGGCCAGAACCACUAGACCUAGUUCUUCUAUCUUUGAUUACCUUCAAACUUUUUUGAGGUUUGGUUUUGUUGCUGUUGUUGUUGUUGUCAUUUUUCUGUUUUUUUGUCUUUGAGAAUGUAUUGUUUUCUUAGACACUUCCCCUUCCCCAUGUCUGUCGGCUUUCCCUUCAUUCUGGAGAUAAGACUUACAUCCACCUACCUGUGUGCACACUACCAAUAGGGCCACCCCACCUAUCCAAGGAUGAGUGCUUGGAAGUCGUGAAAAAAUUGACUGCAGCUCCAUCUAAGAUAUGCCUGGAUAUAAGUGUGGUACGCACCAACCAGAAAGCAUGUCUGCGCACUAGGAAGCGCCUCGGUGGUUGUGGCAUGGUUCUGAGGACAUCCAGCCUUCUUAUUGGCAGAUGUACUAAGGAUGCAGACUUUAAUUGUAAACUUAAGCAUACACUGUUAGAUAAAGGGGUAAGAUCAAAAAGCUGCACUGGAAGAUGCAAAGAAAACAUCCCCAGCAAGCAGACAAGUGAAGAUGCUGGGCUUAUGUCCUGCACUUAGAUCACUCAAACCCUUGUUGUUAAAAUUAGUCAUAAAAUUGAUCCAUUUCCCAGGAACUCUACACAGGGGCUGGGCUGCCAGGUUCUGUUGUAGUUUUACAUGAAUCAAAAGCAUCACUGGGAAAGCCAAGUGAAGUGUUAUGAGCUCUGAGCCCAAACUUCCAUGUCUAAGACAUUCUGAAUGCUCUCAUUUGGUUUGUCUUGGAAGAGACAAAAAAAGUGGAAGAGAGGAAAAAAAAUUGAAAGAGCCAAGCCAACAGGAAAUUUGCAUAUUUUCAUGGCUGAGUAUAGAAUGAGCUGCUUAAACACAAAGCAAAUGUGUUUGCAGUGGUCUGACUACACUGUUGCUGUUCCUUUUUUUUUUUCUUUUUGGAGGUGCAGGGGAGACUGAGGAAUGCACAUGGCACCGUCUGAAGAGUCAGGGGAU
rnacentral:lncRNA from 1 species